CGCAGACUCCACAGUGUCUUAAUGUAACCAUGAUUGCAUUCCGACCCGAGUGCAGCGCAGUGUAAACGAGCGUAAAGGUAGGCCGGUGUCUUCUGGCAAGGUGAAUACUGAAUAUACACCCAUUGGAGACAGCAGCACUGUCCCUGCAUGGCUUUCCAUCUGUCCCCUGGAAAGGAAUGCUACAGAUGAGUGAAUGUACCACCAUUUUCUAGGAAACCGGUGGAGGUGCGGCGUCAUACCUGCAACCAAUCAGAGCACACCAUUUUUUUUUAUUCAAACAGGUCUCCUCCAGCCUGUUCCUUAGUUACUCUAAUAAGGUCUCCUCCAGCCUGUUCCUUAGUUACACUCAUAAGGGCUCCUCCAGCCUGUUCCUUAGUUACUCUAAUAAGGUCUCCUCCAGCCUGUUCCUUAGUUACACUAAUAAGGGCUCCUCCAGCCUGUUCCUUAGUUACACUAAUAAGGGCUCCUCCAGCCUGUUCCUUAGUUACACUAAUAAGGGCUCCUCCAGCCUGUUCCUUAGUUACUCUAAUAAGGUCUCCUCCAGCCUGUUCCUUAGUUACUCUAAUAACGUCUCCUCCAGCCUGUUCCUUAGUUACUCUAAUAAGGUCUCCUCCAGCCUGUUCCUUAGUUACACUAAUAAGGUCUCCUCCAGCCUGUUCCUUAGUUACUCUAAUAAGGUCUCCUCCAGCCUGUUC
rnacentral:lncRNA from 1 species